UUGCAGAAGGGGCGGCAUUCUUCA
rnacentral:misc_RNA from 1 species